CAAAUUGGUUCGUUAAAGUGAUGACGGACGAUGAGAGAUUGUAAUUGUGGGGUGAGAAUAUGCGAAGCAAGUUUUAUUUUGGUUUCAACUUUUUCCUUUUCUUUUUUCAUAAACAUAAAAAAGUUUUAACAAAUAGAGAACAUAGAAAAACUACGUUAAAAGAGAUGGAGAACGAAAGAAAACAGAGGGAGAAGCAGAAGUAAAAGAAAAAAAGAAAGUUAAAAGAACAUAAAAGAAAAAAAUUAAAUUGCUCAAAACGAAAAAAUAUGGG
rnacentral:lncRNA from 1 species